rnacentral:rRNA from 1 species
AACGAACGCUGGCGGCAUGCCUAACACAUGCAAGUCGAACGAGACCUUCGGGUCUAGUGGCGCACGGGUGCGUAACGCGUGGGAACCUGCCCUUAGGUUCGGAAUACCUCCCCGACAGGGGUGCUAAUACCGGAUAAUGUCUUCGGACCAAAGAUUUAUCGCCUUUGGAUGGGCCCGCGUUGGAUUAGCUAGUUGGUAGGGUAAAAGCCUACCAAGGCGACGAUCCAUAGCUGGUCUGAGAGGAUGAUCAGCCACACUGGGACUGAGACACGGCGCAGACUCCUACGGGAGGCAGCAGUGGGGAAUAUUGGACAAUGGGCGAAAGCCUGAUCCAGCAAGGCCGCGUGAGUGAUGAAGGCCUUAGGGUUGUAAAGCUCUUUUACCCGGGAUGAUAAUGACAGUACCGGGAGAAUAAGCUCCGGCUAACUCCGUG